AGCGGAGGAAAAUAAACUAACAAGGAUUCCCCUAGUAACGGCGAGCGAAGCGGGAAGAGCUCAAAUUUGAAAGCUGGCGCCUUCGGCGUCCGCGUUGUAAUCUCGAGACGUGUUUUCCGUGCGGCGCUAUGGACAAGUCCCUUGGAACAGGGCAUCGUAGAGGGUGAAAAUCCCGUACUUGCCAUGGAUGUACCGUGCUUUGUGAUACACGCUCUAAGAGUCGAGUUGUUUGGGAUUGCAGCUCAAAAUGGGUGGUAGACUCCAUCUAAAGCUAAAUAUCGGGGAGAGACCGAUAGCGAACAAGUACCGUGAGGGAAAGAUGAAAAGCACUUUGGAAAGAGAGUUAAAAGUACGUGAAAUUGUCGAAAGGGAAGCGCUUGAAGUCAGCCAUGCUGCGCGGACUCAGCCCGGCUGAUGCCUGGUGUAUUUCCCAGCAGCAAGCCAGCAUGGAUUUGGGUCGCCGGAGAAGGGCACGAGGAAUGUGGCACUUCGUGUGUGUUAAGCCUCGUGCUGGAUACGGCGAGCUGGAUCCAGGAACGCAGUGUGCCUCUGGCGGGUCUUCGGACACCUUCACACUUAGGAUGCUGGCGUAAUGGCUUUAAGCGGCCCGUCUUGAA
rnacentral:rRNA from 1 species